rnacentral:rRNA from 1 species
GACGAACGCUGGCGGCGUGCUUAACACAUGCAAGUCGAACGGAAAGGCCCUGCUUUUGUGGGGUGCUCGAGUGGCGAACGGGUGAGUAACACGUGAGUAACCUGCCCUUGACUUUGGGAUAACUUCAGGAAACUGGGGCUAAUACCGGAUAGGAGCUCCUGCUGCAUGGUGGGGGUUGGAAAGUUUCGGCGGUUGGGGAUGGACUCGCGGCUUAUCAGCUUGUUGGUGGGGUAGUGGCUUACCAAGGCUUUGACGGGUAGCCGGCCUGAGAGGGUGACCGGGCAGCUGGGGAGGGGUCGCCGCCACAGACGCGGGUGGGAGGCGGGAGGGGGGAAGCUGGCACAAGGGGCGGACGCCUGCGGCAGCAGCUCCGCGUGGGUGAUGCGGGCACUGUGUGUGUAACCCUUGUUGUCCGGGGGGGCAGGGGGGUUGACGGUAGUGGGAAAAGAAGAACCGGUGAACUACGUGCCAGAAGCAGCGUUAACAAUCGACGAGUACACGCUUGAAC